rnacentral:lncRNA from 1 species
AUUAACUUUGCAGAUUAGCGGAAUAACAACUUUGCGGCUGCGCACGUGAAUAUCAAAUGUAUCUAUGCGAUGAUAUCUAUGAGUAUUAUCUUUGUUCUUAUGUAAGUACGCGUCGAGAAUACUUAUAUCGUAUCGUACUUACGUACCAUAUAAAAUGUUGCACGAUAAUAAUCAACAGGAUUUUUGCAAGUAAAUUGCAUUUCCAUACUGAGAGGAGGAUGAGGCGUAGAACGGGCAUCGGAAAUCAGUGGAGCAACUUUAAGAUAACAGCAAUAAAAUACGCGUCGGAAGUGCCGCAUAAAAUGUCGUGACAUAAUAAUUAAUCAAAUUUUGGGUGAGUGAAUCGUGUUCUCUUAUACUGAAAGAAGGAGCAGGCUCAGGAUGAGCAUCGGGCAUCGGCAGAGAAACUUUAAGUGUACAUGGCAGAGUGUCGAAAUGCGUGUUCCGUGCGAUUCAUGUAAUAUUCUAGUUUUAUUUUUGUCAUAACAUGACAAAAUACGCGUCGGGAGUGCCGUUUAAAGUGCCGUAUGAUUAUCGUAUUCGCGCCGCGAAAUCGUGUGUGAUUGCUUUGAAGAGCACUGAGAGGAGGAAGAGGCUCAGGAGGAGCAUCAGGCGCCGGCUGAGCAACGCUUACAUCAACUUUGUGCGCGUAAUUGGUGCUACAAAAUA